AUGAAAACUUGAUCUAACAUAUAUACGACCAACAGUAAAAUUUAAUGUUCAACCGAAUAUUUCACGACGUAGGGAGCUUUUUUCGAAUACAUAUAUUGAAUACAGGUUAUUUUAAAAUUACUGGGCAAGCUGUGUACAGGAAACUUUUAAUUAUAACAACCACCCGAGGAGCGAAGGGAUGAAUGGAUGAUGGAGUUUAGUCGCUUGGGUAGGAAUUAUUGGCGACCAAUUUUCAAGGCCUUGUAUUCUUCCAAACCGACUGACAGGAAUGAAGGAGGAUGUUCCAACGAAAUGAAUUCCUGGGAGGCAGUGUUGAGCAUAUUUGUAUUCGCAAAAAAGACGAAUGUGCUACGUUUACGUUUCAAUUAUGCUGCUGUCAUGUGUUUAUUGCAAUGCCCGGAGCGGUGUAGGUACUGAAUAAGUGGUUGAAAACUGUUCAUCAAUUAACCGGAUAAAAUGCAAAAAUGUUCUUAUUUUGAAUUGAAAAGAAUAAAUGUGCACAUUCAUGAUAAAGA